AUGUCGUAUUCGAGGUACAGGAGUCGUUCAAGGAGUGUGGACUCGAGUGAUGUUGAGAACCCUGGGAACAAUCUCUUCGUGACUGGUUUAUCAUCUCGUCUAACUGAUCAAGAUCUGGAGAAGCAUUUCUCUACAGAGGGAGAGGUGAUUGAUGCAAGUAUAGUACUUGAUCCAUGGACAAGGGAAUCACGUGGAUUUGGGUUUGUCACCAUGGCUACUCUUAAGGAGGCAGAACGCUGCAUCAAAUAUCUCGACCGUUCAGUGCUGGAAGGUCGUGUCAUUACUGUUGAGAAGCAGGUUGAUGCCCACAGCUGUUUGGCAUCAAUUCAAAAGAUACACAACCUAAGAUCGAAACAAUGCUACCUCAACCAAAGGGCAAAGCGAAGACGAGGUCGAACCCCAACACCGGGAAGGUAUCUGGGCGCCAAAUCAUCGCGUGGAAGGAGGUAUUCCCGAAGCAGGUCACCUGUUAGGAGAGACCGUUACAGCUCACGCUACUCGCCUGAGCGAGAACGCUCUUAUUCUCCUUAUCGCAGAGGACGAUCAUACUCUCGUCGUGACAGGCGUAGAUCAUACUCCCGAAGGAGAUCAUACACUCCUUCCGACAGGUCGGAGUCUCCCUACGACAGGCGAAGGUCCUACUCACCGUACGACAGGCGCAUAUCUUACUCACCCCACCAUGGUCACCGCCACCGUUCAAGAUCUCCAUACCGUUACAGUAGGCGGAGGUCGCGCUCCCACGACCGUUCUGUUUCAGCAUACUACAGCAGGCGCUAUUCUCCAAGGAGCAGAAGACGGAGCUACUCUCGCAGCAUAUCGCCACGCAGGAGCUACUCCCGCAGCUGCUCCCCGGCGUCAGAAGAAUCAAGGAGCUGUUCUCCGCGGAAAGGACGCGCCGGAAGCAAGGCAUCGCGCAGCAGGUCACCUGGGAAGAGGCGUUCCAGAGAAAGCUAUGCUCACAGCCGCAGUUCAUGCUCGAGGUCCGUCUCCAGGGAGCGCUCAACCUCAGCAAGCACCUGA
rnacentral:rRNA from 1 species